rnacentral:rRNA from 1 species
UACGGAGGGUGCAAGCGUUAUCCGGAUUCACUGGGUUUAAAGGGUGCGUAGGUGGGCUGGUAAGUCAGUGGUGAAAUCUCCAGGCUUAACUUGGAAACUGCCAUUGAUACUAUCAGUCUUGAAUACCGUGGAGGUCAGCGGAAUAUGUCAUGUAGCGGUGAAAUGCUUAGAUAUGACAUAGAACACCAAUUGCGAAGGCAGCUGGCUACACGAAUAUUGACACUGAGGCACGAAAGCGUGGGGAUCAAACAGG